rnacentral:sRNA from 1 species
GAACAAAUGAAUCGCAUGUCCUACAAUGAGAAAUCAGAUAUCUGGUCAUUGGGCUGCUUGCUGUAUGAGUUAUGUGCAUUAAUGUAAGUAUGAUGAAGACAGAUUCCUAGUCUAAGCUUUUAGCCAGAAAGAACUCGCUGGGAAAAUCAGAGAAGGCAAAUUCAGGCGAAUUCCAUACCGUUACUCUGAUGAAUUGAAUGAAAUUAUUACGAGGAUGUUAAACUUAAAGGAUUACCAUCGACCUUCUGUUGAAGAAAUUCUCGAGAACCCUUUAAUAGCAGAUUUGGUUGCAGACGAGCAAAGAAGAAAUCUUGAGAGAAGAGGGCGACAAUUAGGAGAGCCAGAAAAAUCGCAGGAUUCCAGCCCUGUAUUGAGUGAGCUGAAACUGAAGGAAAUUCAGUUACAGGAGCGAGAGCGAGCUCUCAAAGCAAGAGAAGAAAGCUUGGAGCAGAAAGAACAGGAGCUUUGUGUUCGUGAGAGACUAGCAGAGGACAAACUGGCUAGAGCAGAAAAUCUGUUGAAGAACUACAGCUUGCUAAAGGAACGGAAGUUCCUGUCUCUGGCAAGUAAUCCAGUAAUUAAGAAGAAAGUUCAUUUCAGUGGGGAAAGUAAAGAGAACAUCAUGAGGAGUGAGAAUUCUGAGAGUCAGCUCACAUCUAAGUCCAAGUGCAAGGACCUGAAGAAAAGGCUUCACGCUGCCCAGCUGCGGGCUCAAGCCCUGUCAGAUAUUGAGAAAAAUUACCAACUGAAAAGCAGACAGAUCCUGGGCAUGCGCUAGCCUGGUAGAGAGACACAGAGCUG